AAACGCUACGUCAGGGAGUCUGUGCUUCACUGACCGGCGGAUGGUAUCAUGAUCUAUUGCAGAAUAAAUUCAGCAAUUCAUAUCACCUGUAUUUAUGGAUGUUUUUACUCAUGCUUUCAUUAUCUCUUCAUUUGGCUCUUCCACCCACCACUACUACCCUCAGCAUCUACUGCACCUCAGUGACAGUUUUCUUCAUUGUCAUUAAGAUGGUAAAUUAUCACCUCCAUCUGAUGUUUGAUCAGGGCGACAUUAUAGCCCAGAAUAGUGUGCCUCACAUUAGGAAAUGUGUAGACAAGAAAAGCAAUGCAUCUAAUUCCUGUCUUCCAUCGGAAGAGCAGCACAGUUCCUGACAGUGUUGCCAUAUCUGUAUUGACCAAAAACAGGCCAAGUUCAGUAAUAAAAGUCACAGUGAAACAGCCUGAAACAGACCCUGGACUGAUUGGAGUCAGAGUGAUGAAAGAUCUAGGCCAGAGGCGGAGGAGCGACUCACCCCUGAGGAUGUGUUCAGUCCCAACACUGACCAGUCUGCCCCACUCCUGCAGGGAGAGCAGAUUCCUUCAGCCCACAGGGAUAAUGCUAAGGAUGAUCAACCACCUUCCCUUGUGAAUGAAGAAGACAGUAUAGAGGAAAAAGACAAACCCCCAACUGACCCCAACAACAACAAUACCUCUCUAGAAAUCACACGAGAUGGCAACGAUGGAGAAUUGCCUUAGGAGAAUUAUUGCUCAGAUGAAAUUGCUGUGGUGCUUGUUGACAACUCGAGUCCCUCGGCCCACCUGGACAAGAUUGAUACGGUUAAGAUCCUUGUCACAAUGAGCUGUGACGGCAGCUCAACUGGAUGAGUCUGUCAAACAGAGCAUCUUAGAGUCAGCUCAGUCCCACCAGGGAGAAUACUGUCCUGUUAAAAUUCCUGUCAUCACCUUCAAUUUGCCUCACGAAGUGGAGGAACCCUCUGCAGGUGAUGAAAAAGAAGAUACACCUGUUGCAGGAGAGAGCUCUGUUCAGGACAACCAAUCAGUUCUGACACUGCUCAGGAAUACAAAGAAUUUGGGAUCAAUGAACUUGAGAUGCCCAACCUGAGCCCCCAAGGAGAGGAAAGAUAACUUUACCAGCUGUAACAGUGGCAUGAACAUGGAGGAUGUGGAUUGUGCUGGUUCCUCCUUAAGUCAGAAUCAUAACUCCACCACAUCCCAGAGCCGAAGCCUUUUUCACGGCCGCCAAAACAGCUCCUAGUCCAGACACCACGGAGUUCAGAACAUACUUUAUGAAUCUGUACAGUUUAUAGUCCUAAAGUCUGUAAGAAAAUUAACAUAUUAGUUAAUAUCAAAUGGUAUUUUUCCCCACAGCUCACCGGGAAUAUUGCAGUCGCCCAGUGCAACCUCAGGGCCAAUGGCCCCCUGUCCCCAGC